AAGGGUUGGGGAGGGGACCAGGAUUAGGAUACCCCCUGUAAGUCCACGCCGGAAAAACGGAUGAAUAUUAGGGGUUAGGGGGGUGUUCAUGGCCCUCUGUGCCCCCCGCAAAAGCCAUUAAGUAUUUCGGCCUGGGGGGGUACGGUCGCAAGAUUAAAAAUCAAAGGAAUUGACGGGGGCCCCGCACAAGCAGCGGAGCAUGUGGUUUAAAUUUGAAGCAACGCGAAGAACCUUACCUAGACUUGACAUCUCCUGAAUUACCCUUAAUCGGGGAAGUCCCUUCGGGGACAGGAAGACAGGUGGUGCAUGGUUGUCGUCAGCUCGUGUCGUGAGAUGUUGGGUUAAGUCCCGCAACGAGCGCAACCCUUAUUGUUAGUUGCUACCAUUUAGUUGAGCACUCUAGCGAGACUGCCCGGGUUAACCGGGAGGAAGGUGGGGAUGACGUCAAAUCAUCAUGCCCCUUAUGUCUAGGGCUACACACGUGCUACAAUGGCUGGUACAGAGAGAUGCUAAACCGUGAGGUGGAGCUAAACUUUAAAACCAGUCUCAGUUCGGAUUGUAGGCUGAAACUCGCCUACAUGAAGCUGGAGUUGCUAGUAAUCGCGAAUCAGAAUGUCGCGGUGAAUACGUUCCCGGGCCUUGCACACACCGCCCGUCA
rnacentral:rRNA from 1 species